rfam:Brachypodium distachyon strain Bd21 chromosome 3, whole genome shotgun sequence.
UUAUUACUCCCUUUGUCCAACAAAAAAUGUCUCAAGUUUGUCAAAAUUUGAAUGUAUCUAGACAUAACUUAGUGUAUAGAUGCAUUCAAAUUUAAUCAAAGUUGAGAUAUCUUUUGUUGGACAGAUGGAUUACUGA